rnacentral:pre_miRNA from 2 species
AUAAUGGUACGGUGCGACCGGACGAUGGUUCACAACGACCGUUUUUUUCUAACAUUGGUCGGUGGGACUUUCGUCCGUUUGUAACGCCAUUAUUCAACGU